UAGGGAAUCUUCCGCAAUGGGCGCAAGCCUGACGGACCAACGCAGCGNGAGUGAUGAAGGUCUUCGGGUCGUAAAGCUCUGUUAUUAGGGAAGAACAUAUGUGUAAGNAACUCUGCACAUCUNGACGGUACCUAAUCAGAAAACCACGGCUAACUACGUGCCAGCAGCCGCGGUAAUACAUAGGGGGCAAGCGUUAUCCGGAAUUAUUGGGCGUAAAGCGCGCGUAGGCGGUUUUUUAAGUAAGACGUGAAAGCCCUCGGCUCACCCGUGGAGGGUCCUUCCAAACAGGAAAACUUUAGUGCANAAGAGGAAAGUGGAAUUGCCAUGUGUAGCGGUGAAAUGCGCAGAGAUAUGGAGGAACGCCCGUCGCGAAGGNGGCCUUCUGGUCUAGUAACUGACGCUCAUGUGCGAAAGCGUGGGGAUCNAACAGGCUUAGAUUACCCUGCCUAGUGCCNCGCCCUACAAGCGAUGAGUGCUAAGUNUUAGGGGGUGUCCGCCCCUCAGUGCUUCAGCUAAACAGCAGAAAAGC
rnacentral:rRNA from 1 species